rnacentral:rRNA from 1 species
UGAUCAGCAUGCCGCGUGAGUGAAGAAGGCCUUCGGGUUGUAAAGCUCUUUUGUCAGGGAAGAAAUCGUGGACUCUAACAUAGUCUGCGGAUGACGGUACCUGAAGAAUAAGCACCGGCUAACUACGUGCCAGCAGCCGCGGUAAUACGUAGGGUGCAAGCGUUAAUCGGAAUUACUGGGCGUAAAGCGUGCGCAGGCGGUUUUGUAAGUCUGAUGUGAAAUCCCCGGGCUUAACCUGGGAACUGCAUUGGAGACUGCAAGGCUAGAGUGUGUCAGAGGGGGGUAGAAUUCCACGUGUAGCAGUGAAAUGCGUAGAUAUGUGGAGGAAUACCGAUGGCGAAGGCAGCCCCCUGGGAUAACACUGACGCUCAUGCACGAAAGCGUGGGGAGCAAACAGGAUUAGAUACCCUGGUAGUCCACGCCCUAAACGAUGUCAACUAGUUGUCGGGACUUAAUUGUCUUGGUAACGCAGCUAACGCGUGAAGUUGACCGCCUGGGGAGUACGGUCGCAAGAUUAAAACUCAAAGGAAUUGACGG